UACCCAGUAAAGCCAAAAAAGCAGAGAUUCCACCUUCGUACCUUUUGCAUCAUGAUUUAGCAAGUAUUCCCGAGCGAAAAGAAUUUUAGUUCGGCCCCCCGAAACCCAAGUGAGCUACUCCAGGGCAACAUAAAAUAAGGGUUAACCCGUCUCUGUGGCAAAAGAUGUGGGAAGACCUUUGAGUAGCGGUGACAAACCAACCGAACUUGGUUAUAGCUGGUUGCUUGAGAAACGAAUAAAAGUUCUGCCUCUUGUAUUUCUUCCCUUCACUUCAGCCCGUUACUCAGGCCCCGCAAGAUAAAAGAAAAUAAGAGAGUUAGUCAAAGGAGGUACAGCCCCUUUGACACAAAAUACAACUUUUCCAGAAGGGUAAAGAUCAUAAUACUUAAGGUGACUAUAUUUGGGUGGGCCUAAAAGCAGCCAUCCCAUUAGAAAGCGUUAAAGCUCCAAUAUACCCCCCACCCCCAAUUCCGAUAACAAAUCUAAACCCUCUCCCCCUAUCAAGCCAUUCCAUAAAACCAUGGAAGAGAUUAUGCUAAAAUGAGUAAUCAGAGAAGAAUUCCACCUCUCUCUUUUGUACAUGUGUAAAUCGGAACGGACCCUCCACCGAAACUUAACGGGCCCAAACAGCAGCGGGCACUGAAUAAUAAACAACCAACAAGAAAAUUAUUCAAUAUAUCACCGUUAAUCCUACACUGGUGUACUCCAAAAGAAAGACUAAAAAGAAAAGAAGGAACUCGGCAAAACACCUAAGCCUCGCCUGUUUACCAAAAACAUCGCCUCUUGCUAAUCCUGUAUAAGAGGUCCCGCCUGCCCAGUGACCCCUAAGUUCAACGGCCGCGGUAUUUUGACCGCGCGAAGGUAGCGCAAUCACUUGUCCCUUAAAUGAGGACCUGUAUGAAUGGCAUAACGAGGGCUUAACUGUCUCCUUUUCUCAGUCAAUGAAAUUGAACUUCCCGUGCAGAAGCGGGAAUCCACACAUAAGACGAGAAGACCCUAUGGAGCUUUAGACUUUACGACAGAUCAUUUCAACUACUCCCACUAAAUGAAGUAAUAACUAUUGAACCCUGUCCCCUGUCUUCGGUUGGGGCGACCACGGGGAAGAAAAAAUCCCCCACGUGGACCAGAAGUACCCCUUAUUUACUUCCAUAGCUACGAGCCACAGCUCUAAUGCACAGAAUCUCUGACCUUGAGAUCCGGCAGAGCCGAUCAACGGACCAAGUUACCCUAGGGAUAACAGCGCAAUCCCCUUUAAGAGUCCCUAUCGCCAAGGGGGUUUACGACCUCGAUGUUGGAUCAAGACAUCCUAAUGGUGCAACCGCUAUUAAGGGUUCGUUUGUUCAACGAUUAAAGUCUU
rnacentral:rRNA from 1 species